rnacentral:rRNA from 1 species
GAGACAGCAGCAGCCGCGGGAAUACCGAGGGUGCGAGCGUUAAUCGGAUUUACUGGGCGUAAAGCGUGCGUAGGCGGCUUCUUAAGUCGGAUGUGAAAUCCCUGAGCUUAACUUAGGAAUUGCAUUCGAUACUGGGAAGCUAGAGUAUGGGAGAGGAUGGUAGAAUUCCAGGUGUAGCGGUGAAAUGCGUAGAGAUCUGGAGGAAUACCGAUGGCGAAGGCAGCCAUCUGGCCUAAUACUGACGCUGAGGUACGAAAGCAUGGGGAGCAAACAGGAUUAGAUACCCCGGUAGUCCCUGUCUCUUAUAC